rnacentral:rRNA from 1 species
GAUGAACGCUGGCGGCGUGCCUAAUACAUGCAAGUCGAGCGAACAGACGAGGAGCUUGCUCCUUCGACGUUAGCGGCGGACGGGUGAGUAACACGUAUGUAACCUACCUAUAAGACUGGGAUAACUUCGGGAAACCGGAGCUAAUACCGGAUAAUAUUUCGAACCGCAUGGUUCGAUAGUGAAAGAUGGCUUUGCUAUCACUUAUAGAUGGACCUGCGCCGUAUUAGCUAGUUGGUAAGGUAACGGCUUACCAAGGCAACGAUACGUAGCCGACCUGAGAGGGGGAUCGGCGACACUGGAGGUGAGACACGGUCCAGACUCCUACGGGAGGCAGCAGUAGGGAAUCUUCCGCAAUGGGCGGAAGCAUGACGGAGCAACGCCGCGUGAGUGAUGAAGGUCUUCGGAUCGUAAUACUCUGUUAUUAGGGAAGAACAAACGUGUAAGUAACUGUGCACGUCUUGACGGUACCUAAUCAGAAAGCCACGGCUAACUACGUG